UGUGGAUAGCGGAGAAAUUCCAAUCGAACCCGGAUAUAGCUGGUUCUCCCCGAAAUAGCUUUAGGGCUAGCGUUGUAUUAGAUUUCUGGGGGUAAAGCACUGAAUAGGCUAGGGGCCGAGAGGUUACUGAACCUUAUCAAACUAAGAAUACCAGAAAAUUGAUGUACAGCAGUCAGACUAUGUGAGAUAAGUCUCAUAGUCAAAAGGGAAACAGCCCAGACCCACAGCUAAGGUCCCAAAACAGAUUUAAGUGGAAAAGGAUGUGGGAUUGCCCAGACAACCAGGAUGUUGGCUUAGAAGCAGCCACACAUUAAAAGAGUGCGUAAUAGCUCACUGGUCGAGUGAUCCUGCGCCGAAAAUUCAACGGGGCUAAAAUUUGUACCGAAGCUUGGGCUUGAUACAUUCGUAUCAGGGGGAGGGGAGCGUCAUGUAUGAGGUGAAGUCGUAGCGGAAGCGGCGGUGGAUUGUACAUGAGAGAGAAUGCCGGAAUGAGUAGCGAGAAUUAUGUGAGAAUCAUAAUGGCCGAAAAUCUAAGGUUUCCUGAGGAAGGUUCGUCCGCUCAGGGUAAGCCGGGAGCUAAGGUGAGGCGGAAACGCGUAGCCGAUGCACAUACGGUAGAGAUUCCGUAGCCUCCGAAAAGUAAAGCACAGGGACGCUUCAGAAGUGUUACGCCGGGCGAUGGUUGCCCCGGUUGUAAAGGACACAAUUGAGUGGAAGGUAACAUGGAUGGAGACAAGAAAAGCUGUGUGUAUCUGGAAGGAGCCCGUACCGCAAACCGACACAGGUAGAUAGGAAGAAGAUUCUAAGGCCAGCGGGAGAAGGGUUGUUAAGGAACUCGGCAAGUUGACCCCGUAACUUCGGGAGAAGGGGUGCUUACGAAGGUAAGCCGCAGAGAAUAGGCCCAAGCGACUGUUUAGCAAAAACACAGCUCUAUGCUAAAUCGAAAGAUGACGUAUAUGGGGUGACACCUGCCCGGUGCUGGAAGGUUAAGAGGAGAUGUGAGAGCAUUGAAUUGAAGCCCCAGUAAACGGCGGCCGUAACUAUAACGGUCCUAAGGUAGCGAAAUUCCUUGUCAGGUAAGUUCUGACCCGCACGAAUGGUGUAACGAUUUGGGCACUGUCUCAACAACCUACCCGGCGAAAUUGUAGUACCGGUGAAGAUGCCGGUUACCCGCGACUAGACGGAAAGACCCCAUGGAGCUUCACUGUAGCUUAAUAUUGAAUUUUGGUAUUUCAUGUACAGGAUAGGUGGGAGACUGGGAAAUACAGGCGUCAGCUUGUAUGGAGUCACUGUUGGGAUACCACUCUUGAGGUGCUGAAAUUCUAACCUGCGUCUUUGAAUCAAGACGGGGGACAUUGUUAGGUGGGCAGUUUGACUGGGGCGGUCGCCUCCAAAAGAGUAACGGAGGCGCUCAAAGGUUCGCUCAGCAUGGACGGAAACCAUGCCAAAGAGUGCAAACGCAAAAGCGAGCCUAACUGCGAGACUGACGGGUCGAGCAGUAACGAAAGUUGGAGUUAGUGAUCCGGCGGUAUGUGAAUGGAAAUGCCGUCGCUCAACGGAUAAAAGCUACCCUGGGGAUAACAGGCUGAUCUCCCCCAAGCGU
rnacentral:rRNA from 1 species